UGAGGAACAUUGGGCAAUGCCCGCAAGGGUGACCCAGCAACGCCGCGUGGAGGAUGAAUGUCGUAAGAUUGUAAACUCCUGUUAGAGGGGAAGAAUAGUACCGGUUGGACCGGUAUAUGACUGUACCCUCAGAGAAAGCCCCGGCUAACUACGUGCCAGCAGCCGCGGGAAUACGCAGGGGGCAAGCGUUGUCCGGAUUUACUGGGUGUAAAGGGCGCGCAGGCGGGAUAAAAAGUCAGUGGUGAAAUCCUACAGCUUAACUGUAAAACUGCCUUUGAUACUUUUAUUCGUGAGUUCGGGAGAGGGGGGCGGAAUUCCAGGUGUAGUGGUGAAAUACGUAGAUAUCUGGAAGAACACCAGUUGCGAAGGCGGUCUCUUGGUCCGACACUGACGCUGAGGCGCGAAAGCGUGGG
rnacentral:rRNA from 1 species